AUUGAACGCUGGCGGCAGGCCUAACACAUGCAAGUCGCACGAGUGCCGCACGGGUGAGUAAUGUCUGGGAAACUGCCUGAUGGAGAGGGAUAACUAAUGUAAACAGUAGCUAAUACCGCAUACCAUCAGAUGUGCCCCGAGGUGCUUAGCUAGUUGGUGGGGUAACGGCUCACCAAGGCGACGAUCACUAGCUGGUCUGAGAGGAUGACCAGCCACACUGGAACUGAGACACGGUCCAGACUCCUCCGGGAGGCAGCAGUGGGGAAUAUUGCACAAUGGGCGCAAUCCUGAUGCAGCCAUGCCGCGUGUAUGAAGAAGGCCUUCGGGUUGUAAAGUACUUUCAGCGUGGAGGCGUUACCCGCAGAAGAAGCACCGGCUAACUCCGUGCCAGCAGCCGCGGUAAUUC
rnacentral:rRNA from 1 species